AAGGAUCAUUAGUGAAAUAACCUGGGACUUGACGUCCCAAACCAUCUCACAUCCACACACCUUUGUGCACUGUUGAAUGGGCCUGAGAAAAAAUAGUUGUAUUUUUUUUCAGUCCGUUCUAUUAUCUUAUAAACAUCUUAUGUAUGUAAGGAAAGUGUUAUUGGGAAAGAAAUGAAAAACUUUCAACAACGGAUCUCUUGGCUCUC
rnacentral:misc_RNA from 1 species